rnacentral:rRNA from 1 species
CCUACGGGAGGCUGCAGUGAGGAAUAUUGGUCAAUGGGCGCGAGCCUGAACCAGCCAAGUAGCGUGAAGGAUGACUGCCCUACGGGUUGUAAACUUCUUUUAUAAAGGAAUAAAGUGCGGCACGUGUGCCUUUUUGUAUGUACUUUAUGAAUAAGGAUCCGCUAACUCCGUGCCAGCAGCCGCGGUAAUACGGAGGUUCCGAGCGUUAUCCGGAUUUAUUGGGUGUAAAGGGAGCGUAGUUGGGUUGUUAAGUCAGGUGUGAAAGUUUGCGGCUCAACCGUAAAAUUGCAAUUGAUACUGGCAGUCUUGAGUGCAGGUGAGGUAGGCGGAAUUCGUGGUGUAGCAGUGAAAUGCUUAGAUAUCACGAAGAACACCGAUUGCGAAGGCAGCUUACUAAACUGCAACUGACAUUGAUGCUCGAAAGUGUGGGUAGCAAACAGGAUUAGAUACCCCAGUAGUC